AUAUCUGAUAAUGCAUCAUGGGUCCAGGUGCCAUUGUUCUGCCAAUGUGCCAGAUAAAAAGUAAGGUAACUUCUUCCUGAGUAAAUACUCAGAACUUACUAUUUUCAGGAAAUAAAGAUAACCAACAGAAGAAAGAAAGAUGAGCUGAGCCCAACAGAGCACAAAUGAAAGACUGAUAAUGGAGUAAAGUAGACUUUGAAACCACAUGGCGGUAACGUGGAAAGAUAACACAAAGUCACUAGACUUCUGUAAGCCAUGGAUAAAGAGGCAAAUUUAUGUUAGAGUAUCCCAAUUGGUUGCUACUGUGAGAAUUAAUAAGGAUAUUACUUUGCAUAUGGUUCCUGGACCUGGACCUGGAAAUACUCAAGGACUACUGAAUUUAUUAUGCCAUAAAGGAAUCCAACAAGAGAUUGUUUUGCUUUUUUCAGGAAAUUUUCUCCAUUACCUUGUACAGGUAGGUUUUAGGCUGUGAUAAGCUAACGAUUUUUUAGAGGGUCAAAGUUGGUAGUGGAAUACUAAUAGUUGGGGCUGAUGUGCAGAGAUGGGUGGGGCAACUGACUGCUGGUGGACAAAGGACAACUAGCAUUUUAUGAUGUCAAGGACAAUUCAGAUCCCUCACCUGGGAUAAAGGCACCGAAAGGCUCAGUCUGGCUACUGGUGUCUAAGUUGGCAGGAGUGAAUGUCAUUGUUUUCAAAACUGAGUGAAUUUUACUUGAAGCUACCUUUUUCUUUCUUACUUAGGGACUCAGUCCCUUUCCAGCCUCCCCCCUUGGGGAAGUUUGUAACCACCAGAAUCUACCAGCUAGAAUUGAACUGGCUGAGACUACUGAUCACCAGAGUAUGUGAAUAUAUCCUGUUUCCUGUUCUUGAAAUUCUUAGUGGAAAUCCUAAAGACGUCACAUGGGGAGGAGACGGCAUGGAUUAUUUCCUAAUGCCGCAGAUCUGGUCCAUUUCCCCCGGAAAGCCUUCUUUAACCAGGCCACGUCGGUGCUGGUGCCCUGCCCCCCGCACUGGAUUUCGCCACUGUGGGAACAAGAGUGCCCUAAGUCCAGAGCUGAGCGGAUACCCUACCUCAAACACGAGGCCAGAAUCCCCGAGCCAUUGGUGUCACCCUACAAUUGGGCCAAACCUGUCGAUUCUCAGCGACUCAACCAGGCGGCCUCAGCGACACGACUGCCCUUGGUGGAACACAAGGCUGUGCCAUUCCCCCAUCUUCAUCCCCAAGAUGUGAACAAGGCGACGUCACACCACAAACACCCUUCAGCCAACUCAGUCUUGGCUAAGCCCAAAGCUGACUUCAGAUCCAGGGGGACGUCGGUGCCUCUGACAUCGGCCAGGAAGCACCUGGCUCUGCUGGACUCCAAACAGCACCCCAAAGGUCCGCUGGACUCCAGCCACAGGGCGGAGGCUCCGUCAGGUCCCAGCUACUUCCCCAAGAUCUUCGCGGACUGUGACCAGCGGCCUGAAGAUCGCAGUCGCCCCCCCAGCCAGAGGGCCCAGUCUUCAAAAUUCCAUUACCACAAGGCCGAAUUUCCAUUCAUGAGCAACAGGUCCGCGGUCCCUGGAAGCAAAGCUUUCCCCAAGGGCCAAGCCAAGGGCGCCCACAAAGCAGGGAAAACAAUUCACUCAUUUGAAGCUUUGCCCAGGCCCAGGAUCCAAGGCAAGGUUCCGACCGCGAAGUACCAUCCCGCAGGCCUGCCCUCCUCACGCCUUGACUACUGGUGCAGGGCCACCUCGCUGAAGACGGCUGACCACUGGGUGCAGGCCAAGACUUUCAAGGUUUCCAAUUGCAAGCACAGCCUUAAGGAGACGGUAUCGCUGCUACGAUGUAUUGACAACCGCUCCAAGGAUCGAUCCGCACUUUUAAUCAAUCUGAACGGGAGAGCCAGGGCCUCCACUGCGUGCCCGUCCUGUCCGCAGCACUGGUCCAUCGCCACAGCUUUGCCAUCGCCAGGUCCGAAUCAUCAGGCCGGGGCCACUCUGUCCCGAGACCUCAAUCCGGGGGAAGCUCCUUUAUUCGCUCUGGAAGAUCCCUGUCCUGGAAUCACCUCCUCCCCCUUCGCUGAGGCUCCACUGGGCCCUGAUUACACGGCCGAAGACCCCCACGCACCCCCCUUGCUCUCUGAAAGCCAGGUUUCUCUAACCAUGAUUCCAGUCUGUUUAGAGUGCGGCAAGGCAACACAGGACGCUCAACCUGAGGCCACAACCCUGCCCUUCCCGCCCCGUCAGAAGAGCACGUCUGUGGGCUCCACUGUACACAUUGCACCCUUCGAGCGUGGCCCAGGCUCGGAUGCUCAGACAGCACCAUCCUUCGACUACCACCAAAACACAAAGGCGGGAAGAAGUCAGGACUACCUGAUCAGAGUUCUCCAAGGCAUGAACCCCAAGAAACGAACUCCUAAGGGCUCGGGCCACCUGGCCCAGCCCCUGCCUAGCAACGGACACACAGCUGAACUUGCUGCAGCAAAGCCAAAUGGCCCACAGACUAUACUGCCAACAGGCCAUGACAACCAAGAUUCAUCUCGACUAGAUCAGGGCUCCGCCUGGAUAUUAUCUCCAUCCGACACGGAGUGCAGAACCACAUAUUCACCUAGUCCUGAUGACCCCCAGGCUAAGCAUGUGCAAGGCUGUCAUAACCGGGUCACGCCUCAAGAACGACCAAACCAGGGGGACACGAAGGCACCAGGAGCAGAACAUCAGGCUGUCACUCUCACACACCAAGAUCAAGAGGAUAAGCUAUCGAUAGGGAUAGAAAUCCAAAACAAAGCGUAUCAGGUUCAUCUAAGACCACCCACACUGGACCCAGAACCACAGGAGGUGAAUCCACACAGGAGUGACCCCCAGAUGACACCUCCACCCAGGUAUGACUAUAGGGUUACUGAUGCACCAGACCCACAUGCCCCACUCCAGGCAGAACUGGAGCAGCAAGAAACAAUGGCACCAGAAAUUCAACCCUGGGGGCCAGCUCCCAUAGACCAAGGAGACUGGGAAACAUCUCUACCAAGCACAACACACCCCAAGGACUCAGGGCUUUCUGGGACUGAACAUGGGACAACACCUCCAUCCAGUUCUGAUCCAAGGGCCAUAAUACCACCCAGACUUGAGCACCAAGCCAAAGAUGCCCCAGAUGCCAGUGCCCAGGCCAUACUUCAAACUGAACAAGAAUGUGAAGCAUUGCCACCAGGAAUAAACCACCAGGUCAUGACUCUUGUAGACUUAUCACACAAAGUAGUGAUCUCACUGAACCUAGGUCUCCAGAACAUAGCUCUUCCAGAAUACCAAACCAUAGCACCCCAAAGCAUUGACCAAAAGACUAAGGAUGCACUUGGUGGCAGUGCUCAGAUCUUCCUUCAGAAUAAACAGGACCAUUGGCAAGCAAUACCACUUGGAACAGAUAAUAGGGUGACAACUAUAGAAGUCCAGGAUCGUGAAGCAAUACUUUCACUCAAUCCAGAAUGUCAGGUCACUCUUCUACUAAGAACUGAUCACCAAAGAGACUCUGUUUCGGAUGCCAGUGACAAGGCCUCAGAGGUCCGACUAAAACUAUCACAAAGAGAGAUGCCACAAGAAUACUACCAGUAUACAUCUCUCCCAACACCGCAUGAACGGGGGACACCUUCACUACUCAUAGAACUCCAAGAAGUAACUCUAUCUGAUCCCAGUUCUCAGAAUAAACAGCAAUCCAUCCCUGACCACCCAUCAGAAACUAUCCCAGACCCCAAUACUUGGGCCGUACCUCCAUUAGAUCCAUACCACUCAGGAAAAAUAUUAAUGGGGUCAGGGGAGGGCACAUCUUCAUCUGGUCCCAGACCCUCUUUGACUCUUCUAUCCAGUCCUAAAAAUGAGACUGAGGCUAAAUUAUAUGUUACUAACCCCAAGGGCACAAUUCCAUGUCUAGAUGAGAAGAAAACAGUUCCACCAAGCUCAAAAUAUAAGGCCCAAAUUCGAUCAGUUCCUAAAUGCCCAAGUGAGAUUUCAAUGGACUGUGACCCCUACCUUGAAGAUGAACUGAGCUCUAAGAAUCUAGAUGAAGUUCAACCUGGGCUUCAACACCAGACCCAUUCUAGGAAAAACUUCAUACAAACUCCAUGGUGUUUAAAUUACAUCAAGCCAUACACCAUUGAGGGGGGUGAUGUCCCUGAAAAAAUUGUUGAGAACAUCAUUAGUUCCAUCCCUCAGGACAAAUUAAAAAGUGACAUCUGUAAAAAGAGUAUCUUACAGAAGAUGAAGAGGGGGUCCUCCCUGUAUGGUGACCAGGACAUCCCACUGGAUUAUUCAGUGUGCCUAAUUUGUGCCUCCUGGAUCCCACAUGGAUGUCCCCAUGUUUGGGGGAUGGAAAAUCCUUGUGAGAUAAAAUUGCUGGCCCUACCAAUGCCUCUGACCAGUUCUGAGGAGGUAGUAAAUGUGAAAUUUGUCCUCCAACUAAACCAGCCAACCAAAUAUCCCAUUUUUACCUUCCCAUACUCCCAUUACAAUUUCCCUAGUUCCAUAGCCCACCCAAUGAAUUCUCCAAUAUCUUCCCAUUCUGCCUUGGAACUCCCUGGGUUUUCCAGGAGAAAAUGGCUUAGCUUUAUGCUUGGCAGGGACUCCCAAAAGGGAAGGACCCUACCUACAAAACAAUGGCCAUACACAGAGAAAAUGGCCAUAAGAACAGAUGGCAGCAGAGAGGAAAGAACAUUAAAGGAACAUCGGACAUUUCUCAGGUCUCUACUAGGCAUUUUUCAAAAAAAGCAGAGGAAGAAUUAAAUUACCAUUAUAUCUCUCUGAAAGGAAUUGAUUCCCCUGGGUAUCUUUGAAACUUGUUUCUGAUUUUUGUCUCCCUCUGUUAUCCUACAAACUUUGACAGGGAGAUGGCAAUGCUCUUGUAUUUUCUUUUCAGUUUGAGUGUGGGGAACCAUUAGGGAUUCUUCUUGAGUAAUGAAAAGAGACAAUCUUCAUGCUUUCCCUUCCCUCUUAUUCCUUAUUUUAACUUCUAGAAAAGCAAAGACUCCCCUUAGAACAAAUUAAGUUAUUCUCUGCUUCCCCCUCAUAUUCUAUUUUAUAGCAUUUAAUGAAUAGGUUCCCUUCCCAAUAAGGCUUGGUAAAACUGACCAUAUUAUCCAGGAAUUUCUCUUCCUCACCCAAUCUUCACUCAAAUGGAAUCACAACCAAAAUUCUAUACUUUUAAUAGUUCAGCAUUUCAAAUGUCAUAAUUUCAUUAGAAUUCUGUACAAAUCUGAGGGAACAAUAGAUGGACAUUUUCAUCUUUUACUAAGGCCCCCAAAAUUCUACUUUUUGAUGAUGAACCCAUGGUUUCACCAGUGGUAUGAAGCAGUUCAUUGCUGGGACCUUAUGGGAGGUCACAAAGGAAAAUGACAUGAACUUGCCACUACUGAAAGCAAUCAACUUUUAUUAGCUUGUUUUAGAUCACAAGAAUAGGCUAUGUGUCUUCUUCACUGGAGAUAACCAAGAUUAAGAGCAUGAAAUAGAGAGACUAGAGAUAGAAAGGGAAAUGGACUAGGACAGCACCUUAACUUCCCAUCCUAGGGCAACAGAGGAGACCAAUGAAAGAAUAGGAACAUGGAAGAAUAGGAAAGGGAUAUGUCUAGGGAUAUAACUGAAGCCUCAGACUUGAUGGUCUGUAUACAGGCCAUAAUAUAAGUAGGAAGGAAUCCACGAAAGGCCUGCAAUAGACCACCCUUUGGACUCAAUACAUCAUCAUACCUGACUGUCACCAGUUCCAUGGAUUGGUCUCUUGGAAGUUUCCAGUUGGCAGAUUCUGUAGAAGGUGGGAGUCAUCUGGAAACACUCUUCUCAACUUUUACUCUCAGAAUACCUAGAUCCUUUCAAAACUCAGCUUAAAUUUCAAACUCUACUCAAGGUCUUUCUGAAUAGCCAUCCCUAUCUUCUAUUUUCUCCUCCCCAUAACCAAUAAUUUUCUAUUUCUCAUUAUUUUAGAACUUCUAGGUGUACAAUGUGUUAUUCCAUUGGAAUAUAAACUAAAUAGAGGGAGAUGUUUAAUUUUUGUACCUAGUUAGUAUAGUAUCUGAUAAAUAGUGUGCAAACAUGCCUCAAGAUAUUAUGGUUUCAGUUUCAGACCAAGAUAAAAUGAGUCAUAUGAAUUUUUUGGUUUCCCAGGGCCUAUAAAAGUUAUAUUUAUAAUAUAUUGUAGUCUAUUAAUUGUACAAUAUUAUGCCUAUAAAGGUAUGUGUUUUAAUUAAAAUACUUUAUUGCUAAAAAUGCUACCAUCGGAGCCUCCAGUAAGUGGUAAUCUUUUUGCUGCUGUAGGGUCUUAUCUGACUGAUCAGGAUGAUUGUUGCUGAAGGUUGGGGGUGGCUAUGGCAAUUUCUUAAAAUAAGACAAUGAAGUUUGAAAAAUUAAUUGACUUCCUUUCACUUAAACACUUAGAAGUCUUGUAGGGUUAAUACUUGACUUAAUUUCAAUUUUGUUGUGGCUCAGAGAAUAGGGAGGUCCCUGCAGAUGGAAAGAGAUGGGGAAUGGCUGGUAAGUGGAGCAGUCAGAGCACAUAACCUUUAUUAAUUAAGUGUACUUUUUAUGGUCUCAGUUCAUGGUAAUUCCGUAGUAAUACCAAAGAUCACUGAUCACAGGUCACCAUAACAGAUAUAAUGAUAAUAAAGUAUGAAAUACUGCAAGAAUUGCCA
ensembl:lncRNA